UCUUCUUCUUCUUCUUCUUCUUCUUCAACUGCAGCCUAAGCUGAACAGGAUCCAGUAGGUUCUCUUUGCGAUCUUGGUGUUAUCAGCGCCAUGCUCUAACCAACUGAGCUGUCCAGCUGUUCCCACUGUUGCGUGACAUGGUGAUGCCUUCGAACCAUGCUAACUAAGGAUGUUUCUACAUAUGCCUGGGAAGAUGCAGAAGCUGCCUCAGACCAGUAAUCUAGACUCUAGAACAUGGCAGAAGGUUUAGAAUGGAAAAUGUUGGAAAGCCCCCAAACUUUCUGCAGAGCAGCACUGCUGGUUUUGCCCAACAAUAGUUAAUGUCCUUGGCUGUGUAUAACAGAGGCAACCUGAAGGCUAUUGCACACAUGCUAUGGGAACCUACAGGUAUGUGUUUUAAAAUAAAUUUGUGUACAUUGCUUCUUUUUAAACAGCUGUGUAUUUCCAGAUAAAAGCCACACACACCCAUCCAGUCAAGCCUGCAUACUUUUCAUUAUCUGCCUAAAACACUAACAAAAUAAUGUAUCUUCUCCUCAGGACUUAUAUUGAUUCAUCCUGCUGUGAAUACAAAUUAUGGGCUUGACAAUAAGAUAAUAAAACUGAGAGAGAGAGAGAGAGAGAGAGAGAGAGAGAGAGAGGAGGGAGGAGAGGAGGAGGAGGAGGAGGAGGAGGAGGAAAGUAGUGUAUAUAUAUAUAUAUAUAUAUAUAUAUAUAUAUAUAUAUUCUUUGUUUGUAAAUGUGGAGCAUUAAUUGCAUUCCUGUGCGGCAAUCUGGACUGAGCUUCUGCUAGGCAAAUUAGAUAUAAACUGAAGGUGAGGGCAAAAGGGUCACCACAGCAAGGGAGCAUGGAGUGACAGGCACAGGGACCUCCGAUGCAUGGCUUGCAGAGCAGAUGUUCACAAGGAUGCAGUGAUUAUUGAACUGGUAAUAAAAAAGCAUCAGCUUACAGGCAGCCACGAUGGAUGCUGGUAAUUAUAAAGCAUCCCCUGGGAGGAAAAUGACACAAGUCAGCCGCAUCUCUGCAAUCACAGGGGCAUAAUUAAAGCUCCAGUAACAGUUGUUAAUAGGGUGCAAAUAAAACAGGGGGAAAAUUUGAACGCAGUCUUUUUUUAGACAGACGGCAAAGGGCAAUGUAAUUACAGGGACUGCACAUUUUAUAAUUUUACUAUAGGUAGUAAAACAAAGAGUUUUAAUAUAUAUUAUGGAUACGGCGAUAGCAACACGUACAAACACACACAUGCACAGUGUAUAAACAAUGCCAAAAGCAUUUUGCUCUAUGUCGUUUGGAUGUAGAGAACAGAUUUUUAAACAGAAUGUUUAUGUUUUUAAUUCUUAGAAUGAACUAAACAAAAACAUAAAGAAAAUAGAACAUUCAUAAAUAUUUGGCCAUUGUAUCUUCCAAGGAAGAUCCAUAAAGGUGCAAUGUGCCAAGAGACAUGAGCGCUGGCCAUAUAAAUGAGCAGCCUUUGCUUAGGCCUUAUUUAAAUACGAGGCAGAGAAGGCAGGAAGACUAUACCCAUUGCACAAGCCCCAUUUAAUCAAUUGCUUUGCCUGUGGGUGCACUGCUGCUCAUAGCCAGGGUGGGCUGUGGCAACAGAAAUUAUUGAUAGCAUGGGAUGGCAUGUAUGAUAUCAUUUUUAAUGUAAAUAAAUACUUCAUUUUCUAACUUACCUCAAGUUAGAAAAGGUGGUGGUUCCUCCUUCAUGAGAAGUUUUUAGUGGCCACCUUUCAGUGAUGCUGUAGUAGUGGGUUACCUGCAUCAACAGGGGUUGGAUUAGAUCAUAGAAUAAUAGAAUUGUAGAGUUGGAAGGUACCCUGAGGGUCAUCUAGUCCAACCCCCUGCAAUACAGGAAUCUUAACUAAAGUAUUCAUAACAGAUGGCCAUCCAAGCUCUGCUUAAAAACCUCCAAGGAAGGAGAGUCCACCACUUCUCAUGGGAGUCUGUUCCACUGUCAAACAGCUCUUACCAUCAGAAAGUUCUUCCUGAUGUUUUGUUGGAAUCUCCCUAUUUGUAACUUGAAUCCGUUGGUUAGGGUCCUGCCCUACAGAUCAGGAGAAAACAUGCUCGCACCAUCUUUCUUGUGACAGCCCUUCAGGUAUCUGAAGAUGGCUAUCAUAUCUCCUCUCAGUCUCCUCUUUUCCAGGUGAAACAUACCAAACACCCUCAGUUAUUCCUCAUAAAGCUUUCUUUCCAGACCCUUGAUCAUUUUUGUUGGCCUCCUCUGCACACAUUCAGUGUCAAUAUACUUCUUAAAUUGUGGCACCCCAAACUGGACACAAUACUCCAGGUGUGGUCUGACCAAAGCAGAACAGAGUGGGGCUAUUAAUUCCCUUCAUCUGGACACUAUACUUCUGUUGAUGCAAUUUAGAAUAACAUUAGCUCUCUUUUUUUGCUGCUGGAUCACACUAUUGACUCAUGUUAAGCUUGUGGUCCACUAAGACCCCUAGAUCCUUUUCAUAUGUACUACUAAGCAAGCCAGGUGUCCCCCAUCUUAUAUUUGUGCAGCUGGUUCUUCCUACCUAAGUACAGAAAUUUACAUUUGUCUCUAUUGAAAUUCAUUUUGUUAGUUUUGGCCCAGUUCUCCAAUCUGUUAAGGCCAUUUUGAAUCCAGAUUCUGUCCUCUGUGGCAUUAGCUACCCGUCCCAGUUUGGUGUCAUCUGCAGAUUUGAUGAUCAUCCCCUCAAUUCCUUCGUCCAAGUCAUUUAUAAAGAUGUUGGACUACAAUGGGCCUAGGACAGAACCCUGCAGCACCCCACUUGUCACUUUUUCUUUUCCUAUCUUGGGCUGCAGCUCCCUCCUUGCAUUGUUUACUCUGUUAUCAUCAGGUUGGGCACUGCUUUCCUUUUUGGUGAAGAAAGGGGAAAAGUAGGUAUUGACCAGUUCUGUUUUCUCUCUGUCACCCUAUAGCAUUUCUCCAUCAUCUCCACGCAAAGGACCUAGUACUUGCUUGUUCUUACUCUUGCUUCAAACAUAGUUGAAGAAAACUUUUCAAUUAUUUUAAACCUCUCUUGCAAACCUCAGGUUCCGCCUGAGCUUUAGCUUUUCUGACCUUGCUGCAACUGUUAGAUAAUGACUGUGGUGUCUUUAGGAUAUAUGGUUUUAUUAACACAUAUCCACAACCUGAGUAUAUGAUGGAUGGUCUCACAGAAUUAACACCCUGAAGAUCUUGCUUCCUCAUUCAGUUCCUAUGGGAUCCCUAGUCCAGCUCACAGCAGGACAUGUCUGUCCCCAGCUUCUUCCAGCCUGCUCUCUCACACAACUCUCCAUCCCAGCCUCCCUUUAGUCUUUUGUUCUCCAUCACUUAGUUGUAGCUAUUACAACCUUGCUCAUUAUUUUAGGUGCUGAUGAGGCACUGACUGGAUAUUGUUUCUGUAUGGUCCUUGAAGGAUCACUACAACCUUUAGUCAGAGUUCUGAAUAUGCAGAUUGAACCUAAAACUUACUUUCCUUUGAUUGACAUUUUCUCCCGGAUACCAUCUGUUUUUGUGAAGGGGAUGGUGAUUAAGACCUUGGGAAGGUCCCACAGUAUGGAAUUCACUUCUCCUUGACACUCGGCUGAUUAAAGCCAUUGUCCCACAUAUGUUUUGAGUGUGUCCUGCUACUUUCAGAGCAGUGACUACUAAAUUGGUCUGGACAUUGCCAAAGCAUGUCAUUUUGCCCAUUUCCCAUUAGCAUUGGUUGCUAUUCAAGAUCAACAUAUGAGUGAAGACAAUAAUAGUAGACAAAGACGAAGCUCACCCGUGACAGUUUCAGAAUCACUAUCUAGCAUUUCUUUCCAUUUGUUACAUGCAAAGUCAAGCAGUCUUGAAAGCUGUGAUAUCUCCAGUAAGGAAAAUGGAAUUUAUAGCAGUUAAGACUCUCAUCACUGAACAACUCACAUGAAAAUAUCCAUUGCAGGCAGAAGAAAACACCCAUAACCUCUUCACCCCACACCCAGAGUCAAAGGUGUUGCUCAUGUUAGGGUUCUACUUCCUGAAGACGAAUAAAGAGAUAGCUGAAUUUUCUCAGUGACAUCUAAUUUUAUCAUCCGGUUGAUUUCAGCAUCUCCUUGGUUCCCUAGUGCUAAUGGGGCUUAAAUGGCACAUAUAUUUUUGGCAGCACAUUUGGAUCUAUAUUACAUGAUGUAUUAUAUCCAUAAUGUAUCCAAGCUCAUUAAACACCUCAUCAAAUUCUUUAAGAAUAUCUUCUCCAUUCUAUUCAGGAGACAUGUUAUAUAUUCAUUUGACCAUUUCCAGUCUGCCCUUCAACCUAAGCAAACAUGAAACUUCCUUUCCCAAUAUUUCACAUACCACUGAGUGAUAUCAGUUCUUAUAUAAAUAUGCUGUUAGAAUUUUGCUAGUGGUCUCAUUCGGAACCUCCUGCACGAAAUAAGUUUAGUUUUAUAAGUGAGGCACAUAGGAGUAACUAAUCUUCAUUACAGUCUGCUUUCGUUCAGUUUUGAAAUUCACAUUUCCUCUGUAUCUGGUUUCACAUGCUAAUUCCAAGUUCCUAGAUUCAUUCUGCAUAUUUGUAGAAACCUAAUAAAAAUAAUAUCUGCCUCAUCAUCACCACAAUUAUCUUCAGUGGACUGUGCUUGAUUUUUCUUUUUUGUGCUUUUGCAGAAGUAAAUUGUGAAAUGGUUGCUUUAUAAAGGAAAUCACUUUAUAACUUGUACUGGGUAUCCUAUUUGCAGCAUGCACAAUUCUUUUGCAUUCAUCCACUUGCCUUCUCCUUAGUGAAGUCAGGUUAAUUUUCAGAAGGACCACUCCUGAUCAGGUUAUCAACUGCACAAGAAUUCUGAUAUGUAACUUUCUAAUUUCAUGAGUACCAGUCUCAGCUGGCACUAUUUUUUUUUUUUGGAGACAAAUAUGAAACUAGAUGUAUUCAGUUUUAUCAACUGUUUUGGAUGGUAAAUCUAGUAAAUUGAGUGGUAAAUCCGUAUUGCUUCUGGGCUUGUAAAAAGGGAUGCAGAUGGGAUAUUUAAUCAUCACCAGUAUGAGGGGGCAGGAUAGCAGUGACCCUUGAUACUUGUAUAGCCCUGAUCCAGGUAAAAUCUGGUUUGACUAAACACAAUGGAAAACCAUGGGACUAGAGUUAUUUGCAAUGAAUUUAUUUCAUUGGUCUCAAUGGGACAUAGUCCGUACUUUGUAUAUCCAAAGCAUCAUCAUCACCAGCCUUCAGCUGGCUUGCCUUCAGGACAGAAGCUUCUAAAAUAUUAUUUUAUUCAUCACAUAUCCAAAACUCUGCUUUUGUGUGGCUUCACCAAAAAAAAUGGGAAUCCCUUGAACAGAUAAGAGUUACUAAAGUAUAAUCACAUGGCAACAUGUGGUUACUUACCAAUCUUUCUGGAUGGGGAGAGAUGCUCAGUCCCCUCAGGACUAUAACAUGGAUUUUGACUUAACUUUCUGUGAUAGCCAUACUCAAAUAAUAGAUGCAGCAUUCUCAUAAAGAUUUUGGUUGAUGCCGACUUUCAGAAUGCAAGAUUUGUAGCAGCAUAAGAAGAGCUCUUAAUUGCGUCUUUCUUCGUAUUUAUUACUUCUGUAUUUUAAUUUCAGGUUUAAAUUAAUAACUGAUUUGCCUCAUGGAAGUCCGGUGGACUGAGGGAAUUACAUCUCCGGUCUCUUCACAGGUAGCCUACCUUAUUAAAAUAUGACUCAAGG
rnacentral:lncRNA from 1 species